ACGUAAUUGUAUAUAGCGUUAUACGUUAAAUCGUAAUAGUAUAUAACGUUAUACGUUAUAACGUAAUAUCAUAUACGGUUAUACGUUAUAACGUAAUAGUAUAUAACGUUAUACGUUAUAACGUAAUUGUAUAUAGCGUUAUACGUUAAAUCGUAAUAGUAUAUAACGUUAUACGUUAUAACGUAAUAUCAUAUACGGUUAUACGUUAUAACGUAAUAUUAUACAACGUUAUACGUUAUAACGUAAUUGUAUAUAGCGUUAUACGUUAAA
rnacentral:misc_RNA from 1 species